rnacentral:tRNA from 1 species
GCAGUGGUAGUUUGGUGGUAGAAUGCUCACCUUCCAUGUGGGAGAUCCAAAUUCAAGUCUAAGCCAAUGCA